rnacentral:rRNA from 1 species
AUAUUGGGCAAUGGGCGCAAGCCUGACCCAGCAACGCCGCGUGAAGGAAGAAGGCNUUNNGGUUGNANACUUCUUUUAGCAGGNNNNNAGACGUGACGGUGCCUGCGGAAUAAGCUCCGGCUAACUACGUGCCAGCAGCCGCGGUAAUACGUAGGGAGCAAGCGUUAUCCGGAUUUACUGGGUGUAAAGGGCGCGUAGGCGGGAGUAUAAGUCAGAUGUGAAAUCUGGGGGCUCAACCCCCAAACUGCAUUUGAAACUAUAUUUCUUGAGUGAUGGAGAGGCAAGUGGAAUUCCUAGUGUAGCGGUGAAAUGCGUAGAUAUUAGGAGGAACACCAGUGGCGAAGGCGACUUGCUGGACAUUAACUGACGCUGAGGCGCGAAAGCGUGGGGAGCAAACAGG